rnacentral:lncRNA from 1 species
CAGUGACUAGCCGUCACUGUCCGAGUCCGGGGAGGCAAGGCCACCCCGGGAACCAUGGAUUCCCUGCAGGCUAGAGCCCAGCAACGACAGUCUUCCGUCCAUGGAAGGCAUUCUUCUGGCUCUGCAGGGGACACAGAGAGCAGAAAGAAGAAAAUAAGACAGCAAUCUGAAGAGAGCUGCACACUGAGGCUUCUUAACAGCCCGAUACUGGUCGUUGCAAACAGUGAGUUCAGACUACUGAGCUGAGGCAGUGGAUUGUUAGGAUUUUAGCCUAAGAAUGGGUUUCCCUGGUGGCUCAGGGAAUACAGAAUUCCUGCCUGGAAUACAGGAGACCUGGGUUCUAUUCCUGGGUCAGGAAGAUCCCCUGAAGAAGGAAAUGGCAAUCCACUCCAGCACUCUUGCCUGGAAAAUCCCAUGGAUGGAGGAGCCUAAGAAUAUAAUUUAAAAUUAAUUCAUAUAUUUAUUAAAAUGCAAUCAACUUUUCACAUCUUGAUCUAACAAUU